AGGAAUAUCAAGGUGUGGCUUACUGCUGAUCCACACUCGCGCGCGACAGCACGCCGCGGACCGCGGCGCGGUUC